GGUAUCUUUGGGUCUGGCUCUUGUCUAUGUUUCUUGGAACAGAACGUCACAGAGGGUGAGAAUCCCGUGCGAUGAGAUGUCCCAGACCUAUGUAAAGUUCCUUCGAAGAGUCGAGUUGUUUGGGAAUGCAGCUCUAAGUGGGUGGUAAAUUCCAUCUAAAGCUAAAUAUUGGCGAGAGACCGAUAGCGAACAAGUACAGUGAUGGAAAGAUGAAAAGAACUUUGAAAAGAGAGUGAAAAAGUACGUGAAAUUGUUGAAAGGGAAGGGCUUGAGAUCAGACUUGGUAUUUUGUAUGUUACUCUCUCGGGGGUGGCCUCUACAGUUUACCGGGCCAGCAUCAGUUUGAGCGGUAGGAUAAGUGCAAAGAAAUGUGGCACUGCUUCGGUAGUGUGUUAUAGUCUUUGUCGAUACUGCCAGCUUAGACUGAGGACUGCGGCUUCGGCCUAGGAUGUUGGCAUAAUGAUCUUAAGUCGCCG
rnacentral:rRNA from 1 species